AUGCACGCUGGCGGCGUGCCUAAUACAUGCAAGUCGCGCGCACGGACGAGAAGCUUGCUUCUCUGAUGUUAGCGGCGGACGGGUGAGUAACACGUGGAUAACCUACCUAUAAGACUGGGAUAACUUCGGGAAACCGGAGCUAAUACCGGAUAAUAUUUUGAACCGCAUGGUUCAAAAGUGAAAGACGGUCUUGCUGUCACUUAUAGAUGGAUCCGCGCUGCAUUAGCUAGUUGGUAAGGUAACGGCUUACCAAGGCAACGAUGCAUAGCCGACCUGAGAGGGUGAUCGGCCACACUGGAACUGAGACACGGUCCAGACUCCUACGGGAGGCAGCAGUAGGGAAUCUUCCGCAAUGGGCGAAAGCCUGACGGAGCAACGCCGCGUGAGUGAUGAAGGUCUUCGGAUCGUAAAACUCUGUUAUUAGGGAAGAACAUAUGUGUAAGUAACUGUGCACAUCUUGACGGUACCUAAUCAGAAAGCCACGGCUAACUACGUG
rnacentral:rRNA from 1 species